UACGGGGGGGGCAAGCGUUGUUCGGAAUUACUGGGUGUAAAGGGCUCGUAGGUGGCCAACUAAGUCACACGUGAAAUCCCUCGGCUUAACCGGGGAACUGCGUGUGAUACUGGAUGGCUUGAGUUUGGGAGAGGGAUGCGGAAUUCCAGGUGUAGCGGUGAAAUGCGCAGAUAUCAGGAGGAACACCCGUGGCGAAGGCGGCUCUCUGGGACGGUACUGACGCUGAGACGCGAAAGCGUGGGGAGCGAACAGG
rnacentral:rRNA from 1 species